GUCCUCUUGAUAAUAUUAUGAGGUCUGGCCUGCUCACUGACGAGUAUUUUAAAGAGCCGCGGUAAUUUGACCGUGCAAAGGUAGCAUAAUCAUUAGUCUCUUAAUUAGGGGCUGGAAUGAAUGGCUUGACGAGAAAUCUACUGUCUCUUAAUAAAAUUUUGAAUUUAACUUUUAAGUCAAAAGGCUUAAAUUUUUCUUUAGGACGAGAAGACCCUAUAGAGCUUGACAUUUUAUUUUUAUAUAAUUUUUAGUUAGUCUUUUUAUAUUUAAUGAUAAUGUUUUGUUGGGGUGACAUGAAGAAUAAUUAAACUCUUCGUUAUUAAAUCAUUGAUUUAUGUGUAUAGAAUGAUCCAUAAUUUAUGAUCAUAAGAUUAAGUUACCUUAGGGAUAACAGCGUAAUUAUUUUCGAGAGCUCAUAUCGACAAAUUAGAUUGCGACCUCGAUGUUGGAUUAAGAAAAAUUUUGGGUGUAG
rnacentral:rRNA from 1 species